AAAGUGGAUUGAGCGAUCGCUCCUCGCUCCGCCCGGAAUCGUGGUGGAGGGGGGAGAGGAAAGUCCGGACUCCACAGGACAGGGUGGCCGCUAACGGCGGCCCCGAGCGAUCGGGGGAAAGUGCCACAGAAAAAAUACCGCCCGCCACGUUUUUUGGCGGGUAAGGGUGAAAAGGCGAGGUAAGAGCUCACCGGUCCGCCAGUAAUGGUGGAUGCUAGGUAAACCCCACCUGGAGCAAGACCAAAUAGGAGGGUUGGGUGGUCCGCCCAUAGCCCUCGGGUAAGGUCGCUAGACCCCAUGAGCAAUCAUGGGGCAAGAUGAAUGAUCGCUGUGGCUUCUCGUAGGAGUCACGACAGAAUCCGGCUUAUCGAUCCACUUUAGCC
rnacentral:RNase_P_RNA from 1 species